UACGGAGGGAGCUAGCGUUGUCCGGAUUUAUUGGGCGUAAAGAGCGUGUAGGCGGCCAUACAGGUCAGCUGUGAAAACUCGAGGCUCAACCUCGAGACGUCGGUUGAAACCGUAUGGCUAGAGUCCGGAAGAGGAGAGUGGAAUUCCCGGUGUAGCGGUGAAAUGCGCAGAUAUCGGGAAGAACACCCGUGGCGAAGGCGGCUCUCUGGGACGGUACUGACGCUGAGACGCGAAAGCGUGGGGAGCGAACAGG
rnacentral:rRNA from 1 species